UGGUGUUUUUUGUUUUUUGGUUGACAAGAAACUGACGUACGGUUUUUUCUCUAAUAAGAAAACGAACGAAUCAACUGAAUUAUUGUAAUUGCACGUUCACCCUCGAUAUACUUUUGCCUGGGUGCUUGAUGUGAGUUGUGAGAACCACGGACACAUGUCUGCGACAUACUAAAUGCAACGACUACCCUACCACCCGAGGAAAUUCUGGAUGCAUUUUCAAGUACCAGCGGCAAAAUUUGUCGUCUAAUUCGAGGCCCAGACUCGGUCCAGUGUAGCUCAUACCCUGUUUAUGCUACAAUCUUCAAUAUUAUUCUGAAAUCGGAAACAACGACGGUACCGCAAACACCCGGACCAGAAACAAUAUAGAAAAGUUAGUUUUCUACAUCGACCCGGCCGGGGAUCGAUCUCGAGACUUCAGAGAUGGUGACACCAUGAAAACCGGUAUGCAAACGACUCGACUACGAAGAUCAUCAUACGUGGCAUAGAAUUUUAUUUUAAAGGGUGUGACGUGGCAAAUUCUUAAAAUUUUGUUUCUAUUGUCUUUCCAACAAUGAAUAACAAUGCGAUAUUGUAUAUUGUGUGCAAAAAAAUUACCAAUUUUUUCCUGUUAUUUUUUUAACCGACUUAAAAAUUACGUUACGCGAUUAGUACGAAAUUUAAUAAAUUAAUAAAUAAAUAACGUACAUAUUGAUAGCCCAGCA